UAACGUCGACACGAUAAUUUAACCGUUUUGUCGUUGACUUUGGAGGUUCGAAAACGAUCGUCGUCAUCAUCAUCGUCGUCGUCGUCGUCGUAGUCAUCGUAGUCGUAGUCAUAGUCGAAAUCGAAGUCGAAGUCGAAGUCGAAGUCGAAGUCACCAUUUCUAACUUUUUAUUCUUCGUUUAUGAAGGUUUAAAGCUCAGGAACGAGAAACGAUCGGCAUUUUUUUUUCUCUUUUACAAUAUAUUUACGGACGACGGGAGUCGUGGCCAGUAACACCUGAUGGCGUUUUCCUGAAGGAUAGACGAAGAGAAAAUAGAGAGAAAGAAAGAGAUAGGAGAAAGAAAUAUAUAUAUAUCAUAUAUAUAUAUAUAUGUAUGUACAUACAUACAUACAUACAUACUCGGCUGCAUAGGUAAAAAGCAGAGCGAGAGAGUGAAUGAGAGAGACAGAGAGAGAGAGAGAGAGAGAGAGAGAAAGUGCGAGCGAGAAAGAGAGUAGAGUGGGGAGUGGUGUGAGUGAGGUGGGGUGAAGGGACAGGGGUUAGGAGCACUAGUAAAGAUGGAGCGACGAUCGGAAUGGGAUAUCGGGAGGGGGAAGGAGAGAGAGAAAGACAGCUUCUCGUCAAAUGCGCGGGCUUUUUUCCGGGUGUGGUAUGUGCGUGUAGUAAACACCCCUUAGUCGGUACGGCAUAGACGAAAAAGAGAGAAAGAAAAAGAAAGAGAGAGAGAGAAGGAAAGAAAGACACACAGAGAGAGAGAGAGAGAGAGAGAGAGAGAAAGAAAGAAAGAGAGGGACGGAAAAUGCGAGUUAACGAAAAAGAAGGACGAACGUAUAUACGAAAAAGAGACAAAUCAACGAGUUUGACGAGCGAAGGAGAGUGUAAGAGAACGAAAGAGAGAGAGAAAGAGAGAAUGAGCGAGCGAGUGAGUGAGUGAGUGAGCGAACGAGUGAGUGAGUGAGUGAGUGAGUGAGUGAGAGUUACAUACACAGUGGUGGGGUAUAGAGAGACAAUGUGUGUGUGAGAGAGAGAAAGAGAGAGAGAGAGAGAGAGAGAGAGAGAGCGAGCGAGCGAACGAACAAGCUCGGAGAGAGGGAGCACAGAGAGAAACGGUUUUGUCGAGAGGAAAGGAGGCGGCAAGCAUUGCCAGUGGAACGGACUGAGAACGAAAGCAGCAGCAGGAGAGCGAAGAGAGAAGGAAAGGAUCUCCGUCAAAAUGUCGCUGAAAACGCCAACGCGGAUACAGUGAUAGGGCUUUCAUCGUAUAUCACUGCGGUUUGUCGUAGUGUUAAUUGUAUAUGAAGAAAAUGGUGUCGACACGUCAAUCAAGUAGCAUAGGUGCAAAUAAUGGAGGUGGUAGUGUUAACGACAUCAGAGAAGUUAGUCCAUCGAGGAAACAUCAGGCAUCAUCCUCUGCUGGAUCUUCCAGUACAUCCUCUUCAGUUUCACCUCCUUCUAUGUGCAACUUAAGCCUUUUUGAUUUGCCGGUUGAAAUCAUUGAGAAGAUCUUUAGUUAUUUGAAUUAUAAUACUGUAGCACAUUUACGUCCAGUAUCUCAUCAAAUGGAUCGUGUCUGUGGAAACAUUUUAAAUUCGGCAUUUCAAAAACUUCAAGCACAAAUGUUAAGUCGCUUUCAAGCGAUCAAAUCUCAAAUGCCUAGACGUGAAUCCGCACGUCGUAAUCAUCCAUUAGCAUGUGAAUCAGAUAUUAUAGAAACUCUACAUAUGCGACUUACUUUAUUACAAAUGUGUUUUGGUAAACACAUUGAGAGAAAACAUUGUUGCUUUUUUCCUGGAGAGAUAUUGGAUGAAGUUUUUCGCAUAUUACAUUAUAUAAAGGUUACUCCAAAAUUAGCACGACCUUAUAAAGUCACAGAUGAAUUGUUUGAUUUGAGUACUAUGGCUAUGGAAUAUUUUAAAGAACGAAUCGAGCCAAUGUUACCAGAAAUUCCUUAUUUUGGAGCUGAUUUUCUGGAUUUAGCAGGGACAUUCCCUUCAGCUAGUAAUGUUAGUAAACCAUUUAUGUGCCUGGAUUCUGCGCCCUUAAGUGUUGGAAGCAGUAAAGCGGGGAGUGGUAGCGGGGAGGAAGGUUCUCCUCCACAUUCCUCCGAAGAUCCUGCUCUCUUAGAAACGAAUGUUUCACCUCCACAAUCAAAUAUGGUAUUACGGAAACGGAUUCGUAAAAUAAAACAAGGAAUGAAGAGAUACAACAGUCAGUUGACGUUAAUGCGUAGGGAUUUAAGGAGUUGUAAGGCGAAAAUAGCCGAGCAACAGAAACAAAUUGUAGAGUAUGCUACGCGUCUCGACGACAAUGACAAAAAGAAUGAAGAGACAUCUCGCAAGUUUAGCACACUAUUACAGGAAUUAAAUAAAUGCAAGACAGAACUACAAUAUUGGCGGUCUAAGUCCCCAGCGAUACCUGUUUGCGUUGGUUGUGGUCAAUCUAUGCCCGUACCUACGGAAGAUCUACAGGCUUUAGUCAAUCAAGGAGUAAUGCCAGAGGUAUUUGGAGAAGGAUUGGAUUUUAUCCCUAUAGCGGAUGCACAUAGUCCUACGGAAGUUGUUCAACAAGCAACCGUUACGCAAUCUCCAUCGCCAGGAGCACCUUCGGAACCUGCUGAGAUGGCACCACCUAAAGCACCUAUACCAACGGAUUCCUUAAAACGGAAAUCUAGCGUGGACGAAACACCGAGCGACUCUACGAAAAAACCACGUCGUACUGCCAAGUCUCGUCAGGCUAAACGCUCAAAGCUGUAAAUUGAUUCUGAUCAUGGUACAAAUAUCUAUCUAUUCUUAUAUCUCUGAUCGGUUUUUCCAAGAGAAGGUAUUUCAUUCUUAUUUUUCUUUAUUCUUUGCAUUAAGUGAAAAAUCACGCCAAUGUCACGUUCUGUUACGAAGAGACAACAUACAGGCAGGUGAUGGAUGAUCUUAGAAAAGUACAAAAUUCUUUCCCGAUCGUCCUACGACGCGCUUCGCAUGCAACGAACCCCCCUCUCAUUUUGGAAAUUUAAUAUAUGAUUGAAUUAUUUGUUUUUUUUUUUUUUUUUUUUUUUUUUUUUUUUUUUUUUUUUUAUUAUUUUUUUUUUCUUUUUUUUUUUCCUUUUUGUUUCACCUUUUUUUUUCUCCCCCUCAUUCCACGGACGCACGACGGUGAUCGAUGCAGAGUUAGCUUAAAGUUUAUUUAUAUUGAAAACAAAAAAAAAAAAAGAAAAACAAAAAAAAAAAACAAAAAACCGGGACACAUAUUCUCACGAUCACAAUGAUAUCUGCAUAUAUUCUAAAUGAUGUAGUAAAUUUUUUUUUUUCCCCCAAUAUAUUCUCGUAACGCAACGCGUAUAUCUUUUCUUCAAUAUUUUUUUUUCUUUUUUUUUUUUACUUACUUUUUUUUUUUUUUUUUUUUUAUUUUCUUUUAUUUUCUUUUCUUUUCUUUUCGAAGACUCCUUAGAGUGUAUUCUCUAUUAAUAUCAUAAUCGCCAUGAUAUAUCCGAAGGUUUACGGAAGGCAAUUUGAUAUUUUGUUUGUCGAUCCAAAGAAUUUCUUUUCUUUUUUUUUUUUAACGUCGUUCAACGUCGUUUAAAAACAACAUGAAAUUGUCUGUUGGAAAUGUCGAGAUAGAAUUUCGAGAUAGAAUAUCAACAAACGAAAUUUACCUUCUGUUCUCCUUGGACAAGUAACGAACGAGCACCGAAUUCGUAUCUUGUUUUUAACGUGAUAUAAUAAUAAUAAUAAUAAUAAUAAUAAUAAUAAUAAUAAUAAUAAUAAUAAUAAUAAUGAUAAUAAUGAUAAUAAUAAUAAUAUUAAUAUUAAUAUUAAUAAUAUUAAUAAUAAUAAUAAUAAUAAUAAUAAUAAUAAUAAUAAUAAUAAAAAUAAUAAUAAUAAUAAUAUGUUUCCGUAGUCCGUAAACUAAACAUUUCAUCCCAAUAUUUUUCGUGAAAAUCGUCGUUUAAGAAAAUAUUCUAAAUGGCGUGAUGGGAUGACGUUGUUUGGUAUUAAAAAUUGUAUAAAAUGAAAGAAUGAAAGAAAGGAAGAAUGAAAGAAUGAAAUAGAGGAAAAAGGAAAAGAAAUUGAAAAAAAAAAUGAUUGUAUAAAAUUGAAAUGUUAACAACAUUUAGUUGUAAUUUUAACAAGAAUAGAAAUUUAACGUUGUACAUGGCUAUUGAAAUAUCGCCAAUGGAUAACGAUAUAAAAAGCAUAAUCUUUUUAUUUUAUUUUAUUUUAUUUUUUUUUUUUUUUUUUUUUUAAUUUUUAUUUACUUUUUUUUUUCUUUUUUUUUUUUCCGACAAAAGUGGCAUGUCAUCGAGUUUUCUAGAGGGAUUUUUAUACGAAGUAAGAAAAGAAUUGGGAGAGAAAGGAGAAGAAAAUGCGGAGGAGAAAGAAAGAAAAGGAAAGAAAAAGAUAAACAAACAAAAGAAGAAAAUAUAGAAUCAUUAUUGGAAAUAGUAAAUUUUCUCGGGGAUGUGGUUUGAAAGGUGUUGAAAAAAGUAAAUAUAUAUAUAUAUAUAUAUAUGUAUGUAUAUAUACACAUACAAAAAAUAUACAAUAUAAAUGGAAAUAUUCGUAAAAGAUAUCAAGAUAUUUCGUAACGCGUUCAAUUAUUUUUUUUUUUUUUUUUUUUUUCCCAAAUAUAUUUAAUUAUAAUUUUUGUCUCUUUUCAUAUGUCGAGCUUGAAGAGAACAGAAAAACAAAACAGAAAGAUAAACAAAACGAGACAAGAGAAAUGAAUGAAUUUUUCGUUUUGGGAUGAAAGGGAAACGUUCAGUCAGCAAGUGUGAUCGAGGAUAUAACAAACUAGAGAUAUUAUAGCACGGGAUUACUUAUCGAAAUAAUUUAUUCGAUUAAUCAAUGAGAUAGAGAGAGAGAAAGAAGAGAGAAAGAAAAAGAGAGGAGAGAGAGAGAAAGAGGGAGAGAGAGAACGCCGUCACAGAAAUGAUGCGGAAUUUUAAAAUCCGCAAAAAGACGGCGUGGUAUUGCAAUAUUAAUAGAGCUAGGUAAUUAUUUAUAGGAACAAUUAUUUAUAGAAGGAGAAGAGAAAUAAGAAACAAUUAAUAACAAUAACAACAAAAAGAAAAUGAUUAAUUGGUUCUCAUUAAGAAGAGUUACCCUUGUAAAUUUAUAAAUGCAAAAAAUUUUCAGUAAUCUCAAAACAAUAAUGUUGUUAUUGAAAGCAUAAAAGCUUAUCUACAAGAAAAAGGAAAAACAUAACAACAACAACAACAAAAAGGAGGAUUAUAUAUAUAUAUAUAUAACAAUUAUACAUAUAUAUAGUGUCGUGGGGGAGGCAUGUAAAUUGAAAUUGUCAUUAAUUCAGAAUUGAGUAUAUGGAAAAUCGGUUUUCAAAGUCUGACGCUUUACCCUGAUGCGAUGCUUGAUGAUAGAAAGGACUUCGUAGGAAACAUGUUAAUUGUCUUAUUUGCACCGAUCAUCCAGUUAAUCUCAAAGAAGUGUAGUUAGACAUAUUGAAGUAGCGAGCAAUGUGCAUCGACGGUGCGUGCAUGGAACCACGAAUUUUCUUAAAAAAAAAAAAAAACAUUAAAAAAUAAAAAAUAAAAGUAAUAAUAAUAAUAAUAAUAUAAUAAUAAUAAUAAUAAUAA